rnacentral:rRNA from 1 species
ACUCCUACGGGAGGCAGCAGUAGGGAAUCUUCCACAAUGGGCGCAAGCCUGAUGGAGCAACACCGCGUGAGUGAAGAAGGGUUUCGGCUCGUAAAGCUCUGUUGUUAAAGAAGAACACGUAUGAGAGUAACUGUUCAUACGUUGACGGUAUUUAACCAGAAAGUCACGGCUAACUACGUGCCAGCAGCCGCGGUAAUACGUAGGUGGCAAGCGUUAUCCGGAUUUAUUGGGCGUAAAGAGAGUGCAGGCGGUUUUCUAAGUCUGAUGUGAAAGCCUUCGGCUUAACCGGAGAAGUGCAUCGGAAACUGGAUAACUUGAGUGCAGAAGUGGGUAGUGGAACUCCAUGUGUAGCGGUGGAAUGCGUAGAUAUAUGGAAGAACACCAGUGGCGAAGGCGGCUACCUGGUCUGCAACUGACGCUGAGACUCGAAAGCAUGGGUAGCGAACAGGAUUAGAUACCCUGGUAGGAUAGCG